rnacentral:tRNA from 1 species
GCCGAGGUGGUGGAAUUGGCAGACACACUGGUCUUAGAAGCCAGCGCCUUACGGCAUUAAGGGUUCAAAUCCCUUCCUCGGCA